rnacentral:lncRNA from 1 species
AUUGACAAUAUUUUUUAAAUCAAAAAAUUUACAUAUUCCAAAGGGCGUAACUCAACUAACAAAUGUAAAUAUUAUUAUUAGACUGAGACAUGUCUAUUUCCAAUUCUGAAUUUAAACUUAGCUACCACCGUUUUGGUAAUAAACUACCACGCAUAUGAAGUGCCACUGGAAGGUUGAACAUUAAGGAUAUGUGAAUUUGCUAUACCUUAAAUUGGUAACAAAUAUGUUGCUAUACCUUAAAUUUAGUGUCUAAAAAGGUAAAGAAAAAGUUGGUAACAAAUAUGUUGCUAUACCUUAAAUUUAGUGUCUUGAAUUCAUACUAUUGGUGACUAUUUAAAGACUCCUUGUUUGUCACUGCACAAAAAAGGGUUAGCAAUCNN